rfam:Listeria grayi DSM 20601 genomic scaffold SCAFFOLD1, whole genome shotgun sequence.
AUACAUCUAGAUCCAUACCCCUAAACUCCCUAGAUGUUUUUGAGUAGUACGCUUUGUACUACUCUUUUUUU